CAAACAAAAAAGCAAGCAAAACCACAACCAGAUUUAAAAAAAACCCAAAACAAACAGCAACCAACCAAAUAUAAAAGCCCUGCCUUCUCCUGCCAACACAAUUGCUAGUUCAUCAAUCAAAGAGCUAAGGAUGUCUAACUUUGAUAUUCUGCAUAGUAUAAGGUGAAAGGCUAAAAAAGGAAAACAGAAGUAGAGAAAUUAUAGCUGUACACAGGUCUGCACACUGUCCCAAAUCCUUCAAUUGACCAUUAAGCUAAAAACAAACGAAAAAACCCCACCACAAACACACACAUGGCAUCACUACAUAAACAUCAACUGCCAGUGCUCACAUCCCAACAUGGGAUAAAGGGGUAAACUGGUGACAGGCUCUGGGCCUUUGCAUGACUUCAGAAACUUUACUUCUACCCUGGUAGGUGCCUGGCUCUAUGUAAAUGCAAAUAAUAUAGCAAAUUCAGUUAAAUAGUAAGACCUGAAUGUCUUACUAUUACAUGCUCUAACUUUUUAGAUUUUUACCUUACACUUCCAAGAUAGAAAUCCUGUCUUGAAAGUCAAUUUAUGAAAAAUCAUUUCAAGUGCUUCAGGGCUUCUGGUUAGUAUGAUCAAGUAUUUUCAAACUUCAAAAUUACGUUGCUGAUGUUAAAUAAUGUGGAGUUAAAUUAAUGUGGAAUUACUAUAGAACUUUAUCUAUGACUAUAUGACUUCAUAUAUAACUGUAACAAAGACAAAUGCUUUAAUUUGCAGUUCCUCAAUCAGAAUGCAAGUAGGUUAUCUGCUUCCCUGACACAGCUGGGGAAAACAGUGACUUAUGUCUAGAUAGAAAUUAGCUUAGCUUCAGAAAUCUUUUGGUGCAGGAAAGUACAUUUGCAUCUUGGAAUGAAGAGGCAUUUCCUAACAUAUAUGUUUAGAUUGUUUUUAUUUUAAUGUUAGUGGGAUGUACCUACAUACCUACAAAUUCCACAUCAAAUUAAUACAAAUGUGUUAUUAAGUACCUUAUACAGGCUAUACCAUCUUUACUUAACAUAAAUACAUUUCUCCAUUUCAAAGAAAUGAAAAAAAAUACAAAUAACUUAGCUUUUGGAUUUCCAAAGCUUGUUAUUAGCUUGCAAGAACACAAAUAUUCUUUCCAUUUUAGAAGUGGAUUUUUUACACACUGUAUUUGAUUUAUACUAAAUUAAGCAUGAGUAAAUGUUAUAAAAAUAUUGUUUGUCUUCUGGGAUACAAAUAAUCAUGAUCAUAUUUAUAACCCAAUGUUUAUAUAUAAAGUUAAGAAAGCAUAAAUUAAUAAUGCUGCAUUAGUGGGAAAAAAGGCCUAAUGAAUUAAGUUUGACUGUAAAUAUCCAGCAGAGGAGGCUAGUUCUGAAUAUAAAAUUGAUCAGAUGACACUGUUUGGAGAUAUCCUUAUCUAAAUAUCUUUAAAUGAUAGCAAAUGCUUAAAAGUGUAAAAUUAUGAUAGGGUUAAUCUGAAGAAAAUGUAAUUUUUGAGGUUUUUCAACAUUUAGAGAAUGCAAACAACUUGUGGGAGAUGGGCAGAUGUUGAAAGGGAAGUGUUUCGGUCUACAUGCAAACAUGAAGUUGUAGUGAGAAGAAAAAUAGAGAAAUCACAUUAUAUUAUUUUCUCUGUCACUAAUGUAGGUGGGAUAAUGGAACCCAGAAGUGCUGUGAUAUCACUGGCAUUUUCUUCUCACAUUCCCUGUGAAAUCCCCAAAUAUGCUGUUAGGGCAACCUGAGGAGCAGAGCCAAAUGGAAAGUGGUUUUCUCAAAUCAUUCAGGUUGCAAGCAGAUUACAGAUUUAACAAUACCCGUCUAAAGGUAAAUGAAAUAAGUUCUACAUGAAUAUAUACAAUACAGGGAUUAUAAUUCACUCAGAAGUCCAAUUUGCUGUAAACCCAGGGAAAUGCGAGUUAACACCACCUUAACAGGCCCAUUUCCCAGGUCUCUAACCCAAGGAAAAACCAAAGUGGAACCUGACAAAAGGAAGACUCCUCUGGGAAGAACAAAUCUGCUCACUGUUCCCUGGAAUUCCUACAUUUUACAUUAUUGAGUAAAAUCCAUGAGACAGUCCUGGGAACGGGGAUGAGAUUGAACCCCACCUUUUCCUCUGGAAAUCCUAGUGCUCAAUGCAUUCUAAAAUCUAACUCAUCCUUUUCCCAUUCCCUAGCAAUAGUGAUCCAGGUUCUGCUCAGCAACAUAAGAUGGCACGUCAGCAUCCCCCAUUUUCAGUCAUUUGCUCCAAGCUGGAAUUCACAUGGACUACGUUUAGAGCUCUUGCUAUUUUUACUGGUGCUCAAAGCAAUAGACAUUGCAUCUGUAACUACUGUUUUCUGUUGUAUGGUGUUGGUUGGCUCUGAGCAAUUUUCCAUUUACCAUCCAGGAGCUCCACAACAGCAUCCCAACUCGCUGCACAAGUAGUGAAGACUAGGACUCGCAUGUUAUUUGGCAGUUCCCAUCUCUCUGUUGUUUAUAUUGGGAGAUAAGCAGAGAGAAUAGUUUUUAGCAAAUGUACAGACUUUUUAAACACUGCAAUACCUUCUGACCACCACUUUCAAGUUCUAGCUACUAUUCCUAGAGAAUCAACGAACAAACCUUCCUAUUAAGGAAGUUUAUAGUAUUGGUAUUAUCUUGCUCCUGGAUAGUCCAGCAGUAACACAAUAAACUGGAAAUGUGACUUAGUAAGGGGUUUAAAGAAGCCCACAGAACCUGAAGCCACCUGGUCACAUCUGUGCAAGGCAUACUUUGUUGCUCACAACAGCAAUACAGGAGUUAUAUUUCGAAGCGCUGACAUUCCCCCAUCCUGUAUAUUUACUAAAGAAUUUAAAGUCUAGGAUUGUCUCUUCACUGCAACAUGAAUUAACUUCUUGUGCUAUUUUCUAAGAGAGGAAAAAUAUGAAGAAUGCUAAAAGGUGAAAGGAUGUGCUAGCUACAGCAGUUCCUCUGGCAUGUAGAAUUUAGAGCAGAUAAUUUCAUAACACCAAAAGGUCAUGCAAAUAUCAGUCUGGAAGAGAUAUGGAGAGACCUAACUUUGUAGAAGAUGAGUCUGAAGGAGGCAUUGUAGUAUAUUGUCCUUUGUUCACUGCUGAGAAACAGGUGUUCCUUGAAGUUUUAAACUAAUUAUUCAUUGCUACAAGUUGAUGCUGACAAGUAGGCUGUGGAGAAGUACAGCUAGCAAAGUUAUGAAAUAAGAAAGGUGAGGAGAAACAAGAUUAUGUCACAAGGUGUCCAACAUAGAGAUGGCCCCCCACCUUUGAAACCAUGUUGGAUCAAGGACACAAAGAAUACUUUAGAGCCCUCAAAAGCAGGGGGUAUGACUUUUGUUUGAGCUGAGCCCCAAACAACAUUCUUCUACACGACUAACCCACUUCUGAGGAACUGCUUGCAUGACAUUUUGGUUAACUUUGGAAGCUGAUUCUAUCUGCCUGGGAUCUACACAUCUUGCACUAACUACUAUUGACCAUUUUAGACAGCCAUUUUUACCAUGACUCUUACUUGAGUUCAUAAUACUAGUAAUUUUGCAUAUGCAAAGGAAUGUAAAAGGUAUCUCACCAAGGCACAAAGAACAUUUUGGUCAGUUAGGUUGAAUUAAGCUCUUGAAAAAGAUUGGUUUAUAGUACGAUUCCAUACUUCAAACAGUUUUAAGCCAAGAGACCCAAAUAUCUUACAAAGGUGCCUGUACUAUAUAGACUUUCUAGGUAAAAGAGAAACUGUAUUAGGAGAAAAAUAUAUUAGUUUUGGCAACUUAGAAAUGGAGGUAUAUGUAAGGGAGAAAAUUAAGAAACCCGACAAAAAAAAAAAAGUUAUUAUGCUUUAGGUCCUGGAAUUCGACAUACUGGUAUUUCAGAAGGAGCAGUGUAAAACACAAUAAAGAUUGAGCUACCCCACAGAAAUUACUCUUCCAGGCAUGUCUGCAGAAGAUGCAGGAGGUAAAUUAGUUGCUAGCUUUGAGAAGAUACAGAAUCUUAAACACUUCUUACUUCUUAUUGGCAACACAAUGGCUCAAAAAGGAAGGAGAUAAGUGAGAGAGCCACUGAGUUGUGGAAGAUCAGCACUUCACUCUUCUCACCCUAUGAUUUGACGGGAGUAAAACCAGACACUUUCAUCAGUUGCAGCUUCAAAGUUGCAAAACCACAACCAAAAUUAAAGCGUAGCCUCAGUUGAAUGGGAGAGAGGGGAGAAAGUGUGAAGCAAGUUUCCAUUCAGAUUUCAUUUUUGUGCUGACUUCACUGAGCUCGAACUGGCUCUGAGCAGCAAGAUCACAACACUCAGUUGUGCAUGGCCUGCAUGUACAGGGUGCAGCCACAAAAAAUCAUCACUUUCAUGGUGCAAGAUGAUAAAAGCAUUAAAAUACUUUCAGUAAGCACCUCAGUUUAUCAUUUGUUCGAUACUGUUGUCCGUGGAUGAGCACACUUGAGCCUUGGUCUGAAUGAUGUCAAAAAAGAAAAGUUGCAUCAGAAUUAAACAGCCCAGUGAUUCUCUAAGACUGAUAAUUAUUGUAAUAAACUCAACAGCUGGCACUACUUCUGUUGGCAUAAACUGUGCCCAAAAUGCCGACCUUAUAUCCUAGUGAUCAGGUCUCAGAAAUGGAAAUGGAGGAUGGCCCAAUUCCACGCUUUCUAAGAGGGUUUAUGCCUUGGUGUUUGUCCUCAAGUCUAAGAGUUGUACCAGGACACCAAAGAAGUAGAGGUCAUACUGCACUGUCAUAGGUCUCUGCUCCAGCCAAGAAUUCAUAAAAGCAGAUUUUGUCUGAUAGAGGAGAGAUGAUAAAACUGGCUGCUCUCUUGGAUAUAUGUUUGUUACGUUAGGAGGUUGCAAGAUGUAUUUUACCUAAGACAGAAGCAAAAUUUACCUUAUUUUAAAAAGGAAUAGUGAAUAAGAGACCAUUACAGAGAUCUACUGAAGUUGUAUAUCAGUUUCCAUAAAGCUAAUUAACUUAAUGAGCAAACUCUUUGAUCUGAUAUAUAAAUUCAUUAUUGAAGAUUUAAACAUUCACAAGAAGUUUAGAGACUGUUUCAAACGGCCUAGUAUUUGUCGAAUUUAUUCUUUGAAAAUACUGAAGACAUUGAAAUGUAAAAUAGAUGCAAAGGCCUCUAAAAUUAUCAGCUUUUAUCACUCCAAAAUAACAGGCACAUUGAUUUCUUAAGAAUGUGUUGAAUUUAAUGUCAAAUUUGUUCCUGAACCUGUUAAGUUUCCAAUAUAUGCUCUGAUCAUGGGCUUGACUAUGUCUUCCCAACCAUCUUAGAACAUUAAUCACUUCUGUUUUCUUACACCUAAUAUGGAUGUUAGCAGAAAGCCUUCUAAUCCUUUUGCACUUAGAACCGAGGUGAUCUGUAGGUUGCAACAAAAGAAAACACACAUUAACAUUUUUCUUUGUAUAAAGACAUGUAAAAUGAAUGCUCCACUUAGCAACAGGAAAGAAAUAACCCACCCACCUCAGGUGAAUCCUCUUACAAUCUGAAGGACUACAUUAGGUUUUCCCUUUUCAACCCAAACUCCUACAGACCUCAUCAGGAGAUUUGCAUAUGCAAGCACGAGAGCGAGGGGGACCUUAGGGCUUCAUAAGCAGCCGUGGAUGGACCCUUUAACUUCACAACAAGCAAACAAUGGACUAGUUGCACAAUAAGUGUGUGCCAAAGCCUUCCAUAUUGGCUGCAAAAAAUCAUUUUAAAAUCUUUCAUCUGCAGCCACUGCAAAAUCAUUUUGGGGGUGGGACCGAAGAUCUCAUCACUGAGGAAAACUGGACCCUAGGUACAGGAUUGAAAAAAAAAUUAAGGAUACGCUUCAUUACACAAACCAGCGAAAGGGUGAGGUCAUGCCUCUGCCGGGCCAUAGUUCAUGCGACACUACAAUUUUCUAGAUAUACAAUUUCAUCGUAAUUCUAACUAAUUUGCGGUUACUUUUGAUACAGAGAAAAGGAAAAGAUACAAUAGAUCAACCCGUGCCCCACCUUUCUCCCUCCGGCCCCCUCCGCCUUUAGAGCCAGGGACACGAAUUGUUUCGGAGCCCCACAGCGCCACCAGCACAGAGCAAUGCAAA